GGCUGGCGGGGGAAGGGCGGUGGAAAGGCCUGGCAGGUUCCCUAUUUUAAUCUUCUCAGUGACGCAGGAAGCAAGGUCAUCAGCGGAGAUGAGCAUCGUGGAGGAGACAAUGGUGUGCAGAGGAUCCAUGCCACCAGCCCUGCAGACCCUCUAGCAAGAGGGGCGAGAAUUGUCAGAGACCAGGCCUGGCUCAUUUAUUUGUAUACGUACCGUGCAAACAUUUUUGAACUGUCUUCUAUUCUCCAUCUGCUUUAUCUAUGUUUACUCCAUAUGCUUCUUGGCAGCAAGCUAGCUGCCUUCUUGUUCAUUUUUAACUUACAAGAGGUCCUCUUCCUCCCUCUCCCUGGGUUGCCUCUGUGGAUGCUAUUAUCUUUUCAACAAUCAAUGUUUGGCAAUAGCCCAGGUACAGAACGGCUAGGUCUAGAGACCAUUCCUCAAUUGAGAGCCCAGAAUACUAUUUUAAAUAAAUGUGCAGAUUUAGAAAAAGGACAAAUAUCAAGUAAAUCUUGUCUAUGAUGCCCCAUCAAGUAAUAUUCCUGAAGAUUAGCUGCUAGAACCUAUGAAUCUCAGGACCUAUAAAUAACCUGCUUUUGACAAGCAACAUAUAUACAUUUUCUUUAAGAGCUAAAUGUCAGGAAAUUCAUUCCUGGAGAUCUACACGAAGACACGCAUGUCGACAUGCUGCUACCUCUGUAAUAAAUGUGGAGAUGUAAAAUACAGAUCAUAUCGCCGAAUUUUUCACGUCCUCAUCAGCCACCUCAAAGAAUCAAAGAUGAGGAAGUCCUCACUGAAAUCAAGGAUUGCAACUUUCUCUAGAGGCAAUUUCCAUUCUCAUGUUUUUUCUCCCAGACCCAGACUAUUAAAAUUGGAAGAGGAAUAUAGAAUGAAAAAUCAGGCUCAAACCUUUCACAGAUGAAUGUACGACAAGAAUAGAGGUGGAUUGCAGUUUUGCAUUGAUUAUGAACAGCCGUAUCUAUAGACAUAUUGAUGAAUCCCAUGGAGAGAAGCAAUCGAGUUCUGUGAACAUGGUUAUAUGAGUAUUUUUAAGCCUACAAUGUUAUCAAGAGCACAUAAGGUGAAUGGCCUAAGAAAAUGCAGAGUGUGAAUCAUUUCAUUCAACACUAGUUUAAUUUGCAAGUCCAGAUUUGAAUCUAAAUCCAUAGGGAUAAAAAUAAACCUCAACUUAAAUUUUGGAUAAUUUCUAAUUCUUUUUAUUUUAAAGCUCGAAAAUCUCUAACAUCUGCCACCAAAAGACUUGACACCCUCCCCCCGUCUUUUUUAGGGCAGAGGAAAUGAUAGAGAUCUUUAGGCUUUUGAAGUUGUCUUGGUCCGUUUUGUGCUGCUGUAACAUAAUAUUACAGACUGGGUAAUUUAUAAAGAAAAAUAAUUGAUUGCUUACAGUUCUGGAGGCUGGAAAGUUCAAGGACACGGUGCCAGCAUCUAGUGAGGGUCUUGCUGUUGCGUCAUCCCAGGGUGGAAGGCAGAAGGGCAAAAGAGCACUCAGAGAAUAAGGGUGGGUAAGAGGGGGCUGACCUCACUUUUUUCAGGAUCACACUCCUGCCAUGUAGACAUUGAUCCCCUCAUGAGGCCUAAUCACCUCUUGAUAGUCCCACCUCUAAUACAUCACAAGGGCAAUUAAAUUUUAACUUGAGUUUUGGAGGGACUGUUCAAACCACAGCAGCAGGGAUCCCUAAUGAGUUAAUAUAAGACACUGUUACUUCCAAUACACAGACAUGUUUAAGAGUUGCUAUUGUGUGGCUUAUGUCAUAGAACAGAAGGAAGUUAAAUGGAUUGGCCGGGUGGCUGGCUGCUUUUUGAUUUGUUUGUUCACCUACUUCGCUUUGUUUCCUUCCUAUCUUAAGGAAUUUCUUGAUACAAUUAUUCAUUUAUUCAUUUAACAAAUAUUCUUACCUCCUGUUCCUAAUGAUAAUAAUAGCAGUUGCUGUGUCUAUUGAAUUCUUAAAUGUACCAGACAUUAUGUUAGUAAUUCUAUGUGUGUGCUAUCUCCUCAUUACAUUAGACCUAAAAAUGGGUGUUCUAUUUCCAUUUUGCACAUAAGGAAAUAGAGGGUAAGGUGUGGGCAGGUGCUGUCUCUAGGGGUAGAGUGUGGGGCAGACAUUCUUUCCCUUUAAAUGACUUGUUAGAUUUUACAUAGGGCCACAAAGAUGAAUACAUCUCCCACUGCCUCUGAGAAGCUUAUACAGAUGAAAAUAUGUAAAACAAGGUUAAAAGUGACAAAAGACAUAAGAAAGUCUGAUAGAAAGGUGAAGAAAAUUCAGAGAAGAAAGGAUCAUUCUCUACUGGGGGGAUUAGGGAAGGUUGUCUAGAAAGGGGAUUCGGAGAAGAGGGAAAGGGGCGAGGAGCAGAGGCUGGAAAGCACAGAGAACCCAGGCAGGCUCAUUCUGAUGAGAUCAU
rnacentral:lncRNA from 10 species